CUGUUCCAGAAAAUAUGAAAACCCAAGUAAGGAGUUGUAUUUUCUAAGAAAUUCAGAAGGUUUUAAGAAAAUUAUUUCAACCCUUGUUUAUCCUUUUGACAAGUUUUCAUCUAAAGUCAUUAAUGCAUUAGAUGGAUGUAGGAAAACUCAAGACAUAUAUAAAUUGGUUGCUGAAAAAGAAAAAUACGAUAAAGAAUUUGCUGAUGCUAUGCAAAAAGAUAAAUUGGAUGCUCUCAUCUGCCCUGUCAUGUCUUCAACAUCACUUCUGAUAAAGUGUCCAAACUUUGGAAGGUUUCCAAGCUAUUCUCUGCUCUAUAAUCUACUGAACUACCCUGGUGUGUCAAUGCCUAUUACCAAGGUAACAGAAGAAGAUGUAAAGGCAACUUAUAAAGCUAGAUCAUUGACUGAAUAUUUGGUGAAAAGGU